CCUGCUGAGUUCCUCCAGCACUUUGUGUUUUGUUCAGAGAUUGAUAGGACAGGAAGAAGGGCUGAGAAGCCAAUAGGCUGCAUUACAUGAGAUGAAGUGAAACACUACAACAUGUGUAUAUUUGAUUCACUCUGCAUUGAACGCUAAUAUCCUGCUCACUGCUCUCAUUACUCGCAUAUACACAUUUGGUGUGUGGUACACUUGGACACACAAAUCCCUCUACAAAUCAGGGUAUGAAAAGACUCGGCUUGU